rfam:Phaseolus vulgaris cultivar G19833 chromosome 9, whole genome shotgun sequence.
AGAGUAGGAUUUGAGCCAAGGAUGGCUUGCCGGCAUUUGGAAAAACUCUGAUUCCUUUUCACAGUCUUGCCGGCAAGAUAUUCUUGUUCAUUUCUGCUCU